UACAGGGGGUGCUAGCGUUGUUCGGAAUUAUUGGGCGUAAAGGGCGCGUAGGCGGCCCUGUGUGUCGGGUGUGAAAGCCCACCUCUUAAAGGUGGAAUUGCAUUCGAAACUACAGGGCUGGAGUGUCGGAGAGGAUGGCGGAAUUCCUGGUGUAGAGGUGAAAUUCGUAGAUAUCUGGAGGAACACCGGUGGCGAAGGCGGCAUCCUGGACCGACACUGACGCUGAGGAGCGAAAGCCAGGGGAGCAAACGGG
rnacentral:rRNA from 1 species